ACACAUAGAGUGUGCGUGUGUGUGUAUAUGAUCGAUCAGGGGCAGAGGGUGAGGUGAAACCCUAGUUUCACCAAAAUCCAUCAAAUUGAAGGGGGAUUGAAGGGCUAAACAAUGCAUGAACCAAGAUUUUCGAUCACUUUAGCGUUUCUACCAUCAUGAACGUGUCAAGGAGAGGUCAAGCAUAGGAGGAUAACGGGUCAAGAUAAGGCAAGGUGACAAAUACACUUAUUGGAGUACUCGAGGUAAGUGAAUUUCGAUUCACUUUUUAGUAAGUUUAAUAGAUUUUAAUACUUAUGUUUACGAAACAUCAUGAAAGAACAUGUAAUAAUCAGAAGUACAAAGCCAAUAAUGCCUCAUUAUUGAAGAAGGUUGUAUUUAAGCCGAAAGUAAAUUGGUGGGUUUAAACGGGUCGAAUUUUAUGUGCAUAUGUUGCGUAAUGUAAUGAAAUUCGUUAUGGUUAUGACCUUGGGUAAGAAUUUUUAGUCAUUUAUGUAAGGGGAACAUUUCCCGGACCAUUAGGAACAAGUUUUAUAUGAUUCGGUUGUCGGUUGGUGAAUGAACGGAUUGUUUCGUGUUAGUGUAGGAAAUUUUAUAAGUAUAUGUGUAUGGGAAUCCAAAAGGCACGUGGGUUGAAUCAUAGAUUGUCUAUACUAUGUAAGGUUGUGAACGUGUCAUUCCGGCAUAAACCUACAUGUAAACGAAGCUUGUGUAUAUAUUCGUGAUUAAUUGAUUGUGCGUAGGAAGGAACAUUGGCAUGUAUGAAGGUACGCAUGUAUAUAUAUAAGUGUAUAUAUAUAUAUAUGUGUGUGUGUGUGUAUGUAUGUAUGAUAAUAAGUACGUAGGUGUGAAUGUAUGUGUGAAUGAAUGUUCAAUGCUUAAGACAUAUGCAUGAACGUUAUCAAAGUGUUAGAGUAUUUAUGGUUACUAAUGAUGUGCGUUGAGUUGGAAUGUAAUGUAGGUAUGGGAUCGUUGGCUUCAUGAAGAAAUGGAGCUGGAUUUGGAUAAGAGUAUUUAAGAAAGCGCUUGGACAAUUCCACGACUACUUUAUAGAAUGCUCUACGAAAUUCUAUUAUAUAGUUUAAUGUUGUAUGGUAUGUUAAUGACUAAUGGUUUGGUUGUACGUGGUGUCCACAGGUAUCGCUUGGGUUUUCUCUACAUUUAUUGAAGUGAAGCGGACUUAGUUCGAGUUGAGAGCAAGGAUUGUACGGGGAGAAUGGUCACAUUGUGUAACUCAUAUAGGUUUUGAAGUAUUAAUGUUAUAAAACGUUAUAAAUCCGUUUUAAUGAAUAUAUGGCAUUUCGCAUUUGAACCUUCAUGUGUUUGAUAUGUCUAUUAAAGAACGAAAUUUUUGGGCUCUUGUUUUCCGCUGCGUCGUAUUUUAAGUUAUUACACGUUAGUCUUACAGGGAAUUGUUCUUAUUACGAACGGGUCAUGCCCGAAUUUUGUUAAAUAAUAGUAUGAUAAUAUUACAUUUU